rnacentral:pre_miRNA from 1 species
GUAGUAUUCCCUCCGUCCCAAAAUUCUUGUCUUACAUUUGUUUAGAUAUGGAUGUAUCUAACACUAAAAUGUAAGUAGAUACAUCCGCAUUUAGACAAAUUUAAGACAAGAAUUUUGGGACGGAGGGAGUACAAA